GUGGGGAAUCUUGCGCAAUGGGCGAAAGCCUGACGCAGCCAUGCCGCGUGAAUGAUGAAGGUCUUAGGAUUGUAAAAUUCUUUCACCGGGGACGAUAAUGACGGUACCCGGAGAAGAAGCUCCGGCUAACUUCGUGCCAGCAGCCGCGGUAAUGCGAAGGGGGCUAGCGUUGCUCGGAAUUACUGGGCGUAAAGGGCGCGUAGGCGGACAGCUUAGUCAGAGGUGAAAGCCCAGGGCUCAACCUUGGAAUUGCCUUUGAUACUGGCUGUCUUGAGUUUGGGAGAGGUGAGUGGAACUCCGAGUGUAGAGGUGAAAUUCGUAGAUAUUCGGAAGAACACCAGUGGCGAAGGCGACUCACUGGCCCAAUACUGACGCUGAGGCGCGAAAGCGUGGGGAGCAAACAGGAUUAGAAACCCCAGUAGUCC
rnacentral:rRNA from 1 species